AGCGAACGCUGGCGGCGUGCCUAACACAUGCAAGUCGAACGCGAAAGGGGGGGCAACUCCCCAAGUAGAGUGGCGCACGGGUGAGUAACGCGUGGGUAAUCUGCCCUUGAGUGGGGAAUAACCUCGCGAAAGCGGGGCUAAUACCGCAUAACAACCUUCCGUCCGCGGAUGGGGGGUUCAAAGAUGACCUCUGCAUGCAAGUUGUCGCUUGAGGAUGAGCCCGCGUCCCAUUAGCUAGUUGGUAGGGUGACGGCCUACCAAGGCGACGAUGGGUAGCCGGCCUGAGAGGGUGACCGGCCACACUGGAACUGAGACACGGUCCAGACUCCUACGGGAGGCAGCAGUGAGGAAUAUUGCGCAAUGGGCGAAAGCCUGACGCAGCGACGCCGCGUGGAGGAUGAAGGCCUUCGGGUCGUAAACUCCUGUCGAGGGGGACGAAAUGGCACCUUGUGAAUAGCAAGGAGCCUUGACUGUACCCCUGGAGGAAGCCCCGGCUAACUCCGUGC
rnacentral:rRNA from 1 species